AUGCCGCGCAAAGCAACAUGGCCGCCCGGAAGCCCAGUGACGGACGACUACUGCUCCCGGCAUGCCGGGGUGGGGGUGCAGCGCUCCGUGAAGUUUGACCCUGUGGUGAUUCCGUUCCGUCGCGCCCCUAUUCCCCCCCCUCCCUCCGCCCGCCCUCGGGACCCGGAUACCGCCGCAAAGCCGGGAGCGCGGCCCUGCGAUCCCCCACACUGGCCCCGGACUCCCACGACACCACCGCGAGCAGCCCCGAGUCAGCUCCGACAUUGCCCCUGCCCCCCCCCGAUCCUCCACAGGGAUUCUCUUGGGACUCCCCCUCCCCGACACGCUCCCGAUUUGACCCAGGACCCCACCCCCGCGCUACUCCGACUGCGCAAUAAACCCCACCACAGCCCCGCCGCACCUCCUUCUUCCCCCACCGCACCACCACAGCCCCGGCGCUCCCCCUUCCUCUCCCCCCUGCCCCGCACCACCACAGCCCCGGCGUACACCCUCUCUCCCCACUCUCCAUGGCCCCGGUGCACCGCUCUUCCCCACCACGUCCUCGGCCGGCCCCCGGUGCACCGCCAUCCCUGGCCCCAGUGCAGUUUCUCCCGGUCCGGUGCGCCCUGGUUGUGCCGCGUUGCCCGGGACGCACCCGUCCGCCGGGACCCCUGGCACGUGGGGGAACCACAGCCCCGAGCGUGGACACCCUCGCCCUGCUCACCUCCUCCACAGUGCAGCCACUGUGCCCGUCCCAGCGGGUGGUGCUCAGCAGCAGCUCUAUUGUCCCAGACCUGCCCCAGCGCAGGCUUUCCCCAACUGCAGCUCCAACCCCAGUGCAUGCCCACUGUUGCCGUCAGCCCCACCUGGGGCUCAUCCCAGCCCCACAGCCAACAGCUGCAGCCCAUCAGGAACCAGGGAGGGGGAAUGGCCAUCAGCCCCAUCACAGACAGCUGGRGCUCCCAGGGUAGCAGAGGCACCCCCACUCCUGAGAGCAGCUUGCUGAAAGCUGAAGGGAGACCCCACUUAAUUUGCUCGUCGCUGCUUCAAACCUAUUACCUUAUUGAUACAGCUCCUAGAUUCCUCUUAUGCUCGGAUGCUGGCCUCACAGGUGAUGACCAAAAUCAACAACUGGAUCACUAG
rnacentral:lncRNA from 1 species